GUAAGGAAUAUUGGUCAAUGGGGGCAACCCUGAACCAGCCAUGCCGCGUGAAGGAUGAAGGCGUUAUGCGUUGUAAACUUCUUUUGUAUGGGAAGAAUGACAGGGAUUUAUCCUUGGAGAGACGGUACCAUACGAAUAAGCACCGGCUACCUCCGUGCCAGCAGCCGCGGUAAUACGGAGGGUGCAAGCGUUAUCCGGAAUCACUGGGUUUAAAGGGUACGUAGGCGGUUAAUUAAGUCAGUAGUGAAAGACUGUCGCUCAACGACGGAUGUGCUAUUGAUACUGGUUAACUUGAAUCAGGUUAGAGUUGGCGGAAUGGGUCAUGUAGCGGUGAAAUGCUUAGAUAUGACUUGGAACACCGAUAGCGAAGGCAGCUGACUGAGCCUUGAUUGACGCUGAGGUACGAAAGCGUGGGGAUCGAACAGGAUUAGAUACCCCUGUAGUCC
rnacentral:rRNA from 1 species